AUUAGGAGAAUGACAAAUCAAAUUUCCUCCUGAUUUUCAGCCUUUUCCUCAUGAAAAAAAAUUCAAAUUCAACUAAAAAUAUUAAAAAUCAGGAGGAAAAAUCUAAUUUGUCAUUCUCUUUUU
rnacentral:pre_miRNA from 1 species